GAAGCUUUAGGUUAAUAAAACUAUUAAUUUUCAAAAUUAAAAUUAUUCUUUAAAAUUGUUUAAGAUUCA
rnacentral:tRNA from 1 species